UACGAGGGGUGCAAGCGUUGCUCGGAAUUAUUGGGCGUAAAGGGUAGGUAGGUGGUCUCAUUUGUCUGGGGUGAAAGCCUUGAGCUUAACUCAAGAAGUGCCCCGGAAACGGUGAGACUGGAGUCCUGGAGAGGGUCGUGGAAUUCCCGGUGUAGCGGUGAAAUGCGUAGAGAUCGGGAGGAACACCAGAGGCGAAGGCGACUUACUGGACACAUAUUGACGCUGAGGUGCGAAAGCGUGGGGAGCAAACAGG
rnacentral:rRNA from 1 species